rnacentral:rRNA from 1 species
GCAUAAUCAUUAGUCUUUUAAUUGAAGGCUGGUAUGAAUGGUUGGAUGAGGUACAAGCUGUGUCAUAAAAAUUAAUAUUUGAAUUUAACUUUUUAGUCAAAAGGCUAAAAUGUAAUUAAAAGACGAGAAGACCCUAUAGAGCUUUAUAUAGUUGAUAUUUAAUUUAUUAAGAUUUAUUAAAUUUAAUUAUUUUACUGUAUUUUGUUGGGGUGACAAUAAAAUUUAUAAAACUUUUAUUAUUAUUUAACAUUUAUUUAUGGUUAUAUGAUCCAGUUUUAUUGAUUAUAAAUUUAAGUUACCUUAGGGAUAACAGCGUAAUUUUUUUUGAGAGUUCAUAUCGA